GGGUGAGUAACACGUGACCAAUCUACCCUUGAGUGGGGGAUAACCUCGGGAAACCGAGGCUAAUACCGCAUAAUAUCGAAAGAUCAAAGGAGUAAUCCGCUUUUGGAGGGGGUCGCGGCUGAUUAGCUAGUUGGUAGGGUAAUGGCCUACCAAGGCGAAGAUCGGUAUCCGGCCUGAGAGGGCGCACGGACACACUGGAACUGAAACACGGUCCAGACUCCUACGGGAGGCAGCAGUGGGGAAUUUUGCGCAAUGGGGGAAACCCUGACGCAGCAACGCCGCGUGGAGGAUGAAGCCCCUUGGGGUGUAAACUCCUUUCGACCGGGAAAAUAAUGAUGGUACCGGUGGAAGAAGCACCGGCUAACUCUGUGCCAGCAGCCGCGGUAAUACAGAGGGUGCGAGCGUUGUUCGGAAUUAUUGGGCGUAAAGGGCGCGUAGGCGGUACGGUAAGUCACCUGUGAAACCUCUGGGCUUAACUCAGAGCCUGCAGGCGAAACUGCCGUGCUGGAGGGUGGGAGAGGUGCGUGGAAUUCCCGGUGUAGUGGUGAAAUGCGUAGAUAUCGGGAGGAACACCUGUGGGCGAAGCGGCGCACUGGACCACUACUGACGC
rnacentral:rRNA from 1 species